AUCCGUUCCGAGCCGUCUGGGAGCCGAUUCAUUUGCAAAAAGCCCCCCGCGACGGCCUGGAGACGGCUUCAUCGUCGCCUCGCGAGGCGACGAUCCCAGCUCGUGCUCCCAGGCGAAAAAGGCGACUCCAGCACCGUUGUGCGGCUCACCGACGAACCCCUGCGUCGCUCCCUCGAUCCGCUGCGGCCCCUCCGUGCGGGAAGAUGGUGCCCCUCCUCUGCCUCCAACCCACGAGCCGGCGGCGCCCUUCCUCGAAACCAAUGAGUAGCGGCGGCGGCGCGUUGCUAGAUGCGGCGGCAGUGCCGGAUGGAAGGCCGCGGCCGUGUAGGAGCAGGAAAGGUGCGGCCAUGACAUGGAAGCGCGGCGGCGGCUAGCGUAGGGACUCGAUCUGCAGCUAGCCAUGGCCUGAUGGUGGCGGCUAGCUCGGGGCCUCGAUUUGCCUUUGGCGAUGCCCCUGAUGGUGGCGUCCUCAAGAUUCAGAUGUAGCAGGAUGGUUUAUAGAAGGGACAUUUCUGUAACCAUUGUUGUGGGUUCAGUAAGCAAUCUGCUACUUCUCUUAAUUAAUCUCUGAUAUUAAUGAUCAUACUGUAUCAUGCCAUAUCUGUCAAAUGUUUCUGAUACAUAUAUAGAGCACCAGGGAUUCAGUAGAAAUGUGUCAAAUGCAGAUUGUAGUUGUUUCAAGUCUGAUCACAUACGAGGAAAAUGCUUUUACUUGAUGGUUGAUUGUUGGUCCAUAUGUUCUUCAAGGUGUCAUUCUAAUUUCCAGGAUGACUGCACACAUGAAUUGUUUUUCACUGUUGGCUAGCUGUUUACUAAAUGUUUCCUAACAUGUUAAUUGUUUAUCAUUGUUGCUUUGUUCAGACGAAGGAUGGUGUUAGCUAAGGCUUUGCAUGGCAGCUUCAAACUAUUUUAACUAGUGUCAUGGUGUAGCUGUUCUCUAUUGCAAUUAGUUUAACUAAAUUUGUAUUGUUCAUGUUAUGUAUGUAUUCCGAGUAUCUGUUGCUAUAAAUAUAUAUAUUAUACUUAUGCUUUAAAAAAAUUUUACGUGACUUGAUUGAAUACAUUGUGUUUUCUAAAAAAA